UACGGAGGGGGCAAGCGUUGUUCGGAAUCACUGGGCUUAAAGGGCGCGUAGGCGGGUGCUCAAGUCCGUGGUGAAAUCCUCCGGCUCAACCGGAGAACUGCCAUGGAUACUGGGUGUCUCGAGGGUGAUAGGGGUAUGCGGAACUAUCGGUGGAGCGGUGAAAUGCGUUGAUAUCGAUAGGAACUCCGGUGGCGAAGGCGGCAUACUGGAUCACAUCUGACGCUGAGGCGCGAAAGCCAGGGGAGCAAACGGG
rnacentral:rRNA from 1 species